AUUGAACGCUGGCGGCAGGCCUAACACAUGCAAGUCGAGCGAGAGGCGGGCGGGUGAGUAAUAUGCGGGGAACUGUCCGAUGGCGGGGGAUAACUCCUGGAAACAGUACCUAAUACCGCAUACGAGCGGAUGUACCCAGAUGGGCUUAGCGAGUAGGUGGGGUAAAGGCUCACCUGGGCGACGAUCCCUAGCUGGUCUGAGAGGAUGAUCAGCCACACUGGAACUGAGACACGGUCCAGUGUCCUACGGGAGGCAGCAGUGGGGAAUAUUGCACAAUGGGCGGAAGCCUGAUGCAGCCAUGCCGCGUGUGUGAAGAAGGCCUUCGGGUUGUAAAGCACUUUCAGCGGGGAGGCGUUACUCGCAGAAGAAGCACCGGCUAACUCCGUGCCAGAAGCCGCGGUAAUUC
rnacentral:rRNA from 1 species